GUUCGAGCGCGCAGAGCUUCCUGAUUUUCGGUCCCCCAGCGCGGGUGUCCAGGCCCGGGGGGUGGGGUGACUGGCUUGGGGGCUGAGCCCCUCAGGUGGAGCCAUCGCACUGUGUCUCCUUGAAACCAGGCUCUGAGCAGAGAGAGACACAGAGAUGUGUGGGCGCUUCUCCGGCUGGGGGACGUCCUCCUGCGUGUCACUCUCAGGCGGGCGCAGCCGGCCCGGUGUUGACCGCCGCGUGGGCGCCCCGACGGGCGGAGGGAGAGGGAAGACGAGCGGGGAGCCACACCAUUAUGGACUCACAGGAACUGGAUUUAUUCUCUUGUCUGAAACAAUAAAACAAAACCACACAAGAUACACAAAAUGCAGAUUUCCAAGAUACUGGGCAUCAGGCAAAAGAGGACAGCAAUUCCACACUUGGAAACACACAGAAUGUUCAACAGGUAAAUGGAAAAUGUGAAAAAGACCCAAUCUCCUGUUAAGUGAUGAAAACCACAAUGCCUGAAGAGAAAUAUCCUGCAAGGGGUUGACAGCAACAGAAAAUGCAGGAGAAGAACAUUUCAUAGGACUUGUUUUGAAUCUGCAGACCCCUUUGGUUAGUAUUGCCCCCCUCACUCUGUAAAAUCUAAUCCAUAAACACAGGAUGUCUUACUGUUUCUUUAGUUUUCUCUAAUCUCUUACAGCAGUGUUCUAUAGUUUUCACUGUAAAGGUCUUUGCCUCCUUGAAUCAGUUCAUUUCUAGAUAUUUUAUUGUUUUGAGUGCUAUUAUAAGUGCAGUUGUUUUCUUAAUUUCCUUUUCAGAUUGGUCUUUGUUAGUGUAGAGAAACACAACUGAAUUUUGUCUAUCUUGUCCUCUGCAACUUUACAGAAUUAGUUUAUUGACUCUAGUAUUUUUGUUUGUGAAGUACUUGGGAUUUUUCUCUAGAUAGGAGGAUGCCUUCCACAAAUAGAGAUAAUUUUAUUUAUUCCUUUCCACACUACUUUUGCUCAACUUCAAUUCUAAAAUAUAUUUGGGCUGGGUGUGGAAGCCUAUACCUGCCACAGGCCACCCGUGGAUUUUUGGGUCAGAGAUGAACAGUGACAGGAAGUUGCCUAUUUUGGGUCACCUCAGCCCGGGGUCUUGGAUAAUCACACAGAGCCUGGCCAGGGAAUUAGAGACCAGCAGGAGUCCUUGUUCUUUGCAACCACCUCAAAAGGCAAGGACCAAAAGACCCCUUGAGGCCCCUACAGGGAGGGUUUCUGCCCUCCCCCCGACCUGGGAAUGGCCCAGAAGUGAGAAGUCAGAAAAGGGAAGGGGACUGGGGUGGCUGCUGACUCCAGGCCAUGGGUGCCCCUGAAAGCCGUGCCUCAUUCCACCUGUAGAGAGCUCAUUCAAGCAGGGGCCUGGGUCAAGCAAUAAAGCAAGCAGUUAAAAAUAAUGCAGCUGGGAGGUACUGCCAGGACUAGCAUCAGCUGAUACCUCAGAACUGACAAUACUUAGAAACAGGAGGGGGGGGCAAGACUGAUUAAAUCCCUUUAAAAAGGGGUGGAUUUUUGCAGCAAACUGUCAAACUCUUCAGACAUGACCUCUCUAUGUUGGACCACUUCUAAAAGGCAGCUGCCUCCAAAGGCUCUGCCCACUUGAUCCUCAAACAGAACUGAGAUCCUUCACUGCUUGAACAUAAUAAGCAGUAAGUGCCACGAGCUGUCCUGGACCGGACCAAGGCCAGAAGGACUGCGUGCCCACAGACUGACUUCUACAACUUCUAUUACCUUGUUUGUUGUGUGAUUUGUCUUAUGUUCUGCUCUGUGUGCUGGGUUAAGAAGCCAAGUUUAAUCACAUGGUGAAACUGAAUUUGGAACCCUGAAAGUGCUUUAUAAUUGUGACUAACUUUGCUUUAUGAUCGAAUAAAGCUGACAUUGUGGAAAGACA